GAUGAAGAACGCAGCGAAAUGCGAUACGUAAUGUGAAUUGCAGAAUUCAGUGAAUCAUCGCGUCUUUGAACGCACAUUGCGCCCCCUGGUAUUCCGGGGGGCAUGCCUGUCCGAGCGUCAUUGCUGCCCUCAAGCACGGCUUGUGUGUUGGGCCUCCGUCCUCCUCCCGGGGGACGGGCCCGAAAGGCAGCGGCGGCACCGCGUCCGGUCCUCGAGCGUAUGGGGCUUCGUCACCCGCUCUUGUAGGCCCGGCCGGCGCUUGCCGACACAUCAAUCUUUUUUCCAGGUUGACCUCGGAUCAGGUAGGGAUACCCGCUGAACUUAAGCAUAUCAAUAAGCGGAGGA
rnacentral:misc_RNA from 1 species